rnacentral:rRNA from 1 species
GACGAACGCUGGCGGCGUGCCUAAUACAUGCAAGUAGAACGCUGAAGAGAGGAGCUUGCUCUUCUUGGAUGAGUUGCGAACGGGUGAGUAACGCGUAGGUAACCUGCCUUGUAGCGGGGGAUAACUAUUGGAAACGAUAGCUAAUACCGCAUAACAAUGGAUGACCCAUGUCAUUUAUUUGAAAGGGGCAAAUGCUCCACUACAAGAUGGACCUGCGUUGUAUUAGCUAGUAGGUGAGGUAACGGCUCACCUAGGCGACGAUACAUAGCCGACCUGAGAGGGUGAUCGGCCACACUGGGACUGAGACACGGCCCAGACUCCUACGGGAGGCAGCAGUAGGGAAUCUUCGGCAAUGGGGGCAACCCUGACCGAGCAACGCCGCGUGAGUGAAGAAGGGUUUCGGAUCGUAAAGCUCGGUUGUAAGUCAAGAACGAGUGUGAGAGUGGAAAGUUCACACUGUGACGGUAGCUUACCAGAAAGGGACGGCUAACUACGUG